UUAAGCGACUAAGCGUACACGGUGGAUGCCCUGGCAGUCAGAGGCGAUGAAGGACGUGCUAAUCUGCGAAAAGCGUCGGUAAGGUGAUAUGAACCGUUAUAGCCGGCGAUGUCCGAAUGGGGAAACCCAGUGCAAUUCGUUGCACUAUCGUUAACUGAAUACAUAGGUUAACGAGGCGAACCGGGGGAACUGAAACAUCUAAGUACCCCGAGGAAAAGAAAUCAACCGAGAUUCCCCCAGUAGCGGCGAGCGAACGGGGAGCAGCCCAGAGUCUGAAUCAGCUUGUGUGUUAGUGGAACGGUCUGGAAAGUCCGACGGUACAGGGUGAUAGUCCCGUACACCAAAAUGCACAGGUUGUGAACUCGAAGAGUAGGGCGGGACACGUGGUAUCCUGUCUGAAUAUGGGGGGACCAUCCUCCAAGGCUAAAUACUCCUGACUGACCGAUAGUGAACCAGUACCGUGAGGGAAAGGCGAAAAGAACCCCGGCGAGGGGAGUGAAAAAGAACCUGAAACCGUGUACGUACAAGCAGUGGGAGCACCUUCGGGUGUGACUGCGUACCUUUUGUAUAAUGGGUCAGCGACUUAUAUUCUGUAGCAAGGUUAACCGUAUAGGGGAGCCGCAGGGAAACCGAGUCUUAACUGGGCGUUAAGUUGCAGGGUAUAGACCCGAAACCCGGUGAUCUAGCCAUGGGCAGGUUGAAGGUUGGGUAACACUAACUGGAGGACCGAACCGACUAAUGUUGAAAAAUUAGCGGAUGACUUGUGGCUGGGGGUGAAAGGCCAAUCAAACCGGGAGAUAGCUGGUUCUCCCCGAAAGCUAUUUAGGUAGCGCCUCGUGAACUCAUCUUCGGGGGUAGAGCACUGUUUCGGCUAGGGGGUCAUCCCGACUUACCAACCCGAUGCAAACUACGAAUACCGAAGAAUGUUAUCACGGGAGACACACGGCGGGUGCUAACGUCCGUCGUGAAGAGGGAAACAACCCAGACCGCCAGCUAAGGUCCCAAAGUCAUGGUUAAGUGGGAAACGAUGUGGGAAGGCACAGACAGCCAGGAUGUUGGCUUAGAAGCAGCCAUCAUUUAAAGAAAGCGUAAUAGCUCACUGGUCGAGUCGGCCUGCGCGGAAGAUGUAACGGGGCUAAACCAUGCACCGAAGCUGCGGCAGCGACACUAUGUGUUGUUGGGUAGGGGAGCGUUCUGUAAGCCUGCGAAGGUGACCUGUGAGGGUUGCUGGAGGUAUCAGAAGUGCGAAUGCUGACAUAAGUAACGAUAAAGCGGGUGAAAAGCCCGCUCGCCGGAAGACCAAGGGUUCCUGUCCAACGUUAAUCGGGGCAGGGUGAGUCGACCCCUAAGGCGAGGCCGAAAGGCGUAGUCGAUGGGAAACAGGUUAAUAUUCCUGUACUUGGUGUUACUGCGAAGGGGGGACGGAGAAGGCUAUGUUAGCCGGGCGACGGUUGUCCCGGUUUAAGCAUGUAGGCUGGUUGUCCAGGCAAAUCCGGAUAAUCAAGGCUGAGGUGUGAUGACGAGGCACUACGGUGCUGAAGUAACAAAUGCCCUGCUUCCAGGAAAAGCCUCUAAGCAUCAGGUAACAUCAAAUCGUACCCCAAACCGACACAGGUGGUCAGGUAGAGAAUACCAAGGCGCUUGAGAGAACUCGGGUGAAGGAACUAGGCAAAAUGGUGCCGUAACUUCGGGAGAAGGCACGCUGGUGUGUAGGUGAAGUCCCUGCGGAUGGAGCUGAGACCAGUCGAAGAUACCAGCUGGCUGCAACUGUUUAUUAAAAACACAGCACUGUGCAAACACGAAAGUGGACGUAUACGGUGUGACGCCUGCCCGGUGCCGGAAGGUUAAUUGAUGGGGUUAUCCGUAAGGAGAAGCUCUUGAUCGAAGCCCCGGUAAACGGCGGCCGUAACUAUAACGGUCCUAAGGUAGCGAAAUUCCUUGUCGGGUAAGUUCCGACCUGCACGAAUGGCGUAAUGAUGGCCAGGCUGUCUCCACCCGAGACUCAGUGAAAUUGAACUCGCUGUGAAGAUGCAGUGUACCCGCGGCAAGACGGAAAGACCCCGUGAACCUUUACUAUAGCUUGACACUGAACAUUGAGCCUUGAUGUGUAGGAUAGGUGGGAGGCUUUGAAGCGUGGACGCCAGUCUGCGUGGAGCCAACCUUGAAAUACCACCCUUUAAUGUUUGAUGUUCUAACGUUGGCCCCU
rnacentral:rRNA from 1 species